rnacentral:rRNA from 1 species
UACGUAGGGUGCGAGCGUUUGUCCGGAUUUAUUGGGCGUAAAGAGCUCGUAGGCGGUUUGUCGCGUCGGCCGUGAAAUCUCCACGCUUAACGUGGAGCGUGCGGUCGAUACGGGCAGACUUGAGUUCGGUAGGGGAGACUGGAAUUCCUGGUGUAGCGGUGAAAUGCGCGGAUAUCAGGAGGAACACCGGUGGCGAAGGCGGGUCUCUGGGCCGAUACUGACGCUGAGGAGCGAAAGCAUGGGUAGCGAACAGG